AUUGAACGCUGGCGGCAGGCCUAACACAUGCAAGUCGAGCGGAUGAAGGGAGCUUGCUCCUGGAUUCAGCGGCGGACGGGUGAGUAAUGCCUAGGAAUCUGCCUGGUAGUGGGGGAUAACGUCCGGAAACGGGCGCUAAUACCGCAUACGUCCUGAGGGAGAAAGUGGGGGAUCUUCGGACCUCACGCUAUCAGAUGAGCCUAGGUCGGAUUAGCUAGUUGGUGGGGUAAAGGCCUACCAAGGCGACGAUCCGUAACUGGUCUGAGAGGAUGAUCAGUCACACUGGAACUGAGACACGGUCCAGACUCCUACGGGAGGCAGCAGUGGGGAAUAUUGGACGAUGGGCGAAAGCCUGAUCCAGCCAUGCCGCGUGUGUGAAGAGGGUCUUCGGAUUGUAAAGCACUUUAAGUUGGGAGGAAGGGCAGUAAGUUAAUACCUUGCUGUUUUGACGUUACCAACAGAAUAAGCACCGGCUAACUUCGUG
rnacentral:rRNA from 1 species